rnacentral:rRNA from 1 species
GGCAAAGCUCAAAUUUGAAAUCUGGCGUCUUUGGCGUCCGAGUUGUAAUUUGAAGAAGGUAUCUUUGGGCCCGGCUCUUGUCUAUGUUCCUUGGAACAGGACGUCACAGAGGGUGAGAAUCCCGUGCGAUGAGAUGACCCGGGUCUGUGUAAAGUUCCUUCGACGAGUCGAGUUGUUUGGGAAUGCAGCUCUAAGUGGGUGGUAAAUUCCAUCUAAAGCUAAAUAUUGGCGAGAGACCGAUAGCGAACAAGUACAGUGAUGGAAAGAUGAAAAGAACUUUGAAAAGAGAGUGAAAAAGUACGUGAAAUUGUUGAAAGGGAAGGGCUUGAGAUCAGACUUGGUAUUUUGCAUGCUGCUCUCUCGGGGGCGGCCGCUGCGGUUUACCGGGCCAGCAUCGGUUUGGAGCGGCAGGAUAAUGGCGGAGGAAUGUGGCACGGCUUCUGCUGUGUGUUAUAGCCUCUGACGAUACUGCAGCCUAGACCGAGGACUGCGGUUUUUACCUAGGAUGUUGGCAUAAUGAUCUUAAGUCGCCCGUCUUGAAACACGGACCAAGGAGUCUAACGUCUAUGCGAGUGUUUGGGUGUAAAAACCCGUACGCGUAAUGAAAGUGAACGAAGGUGGGGGCCCAUUAGGGUGCACCAUCGACCGAUCCUGAUGUGUUCGGAUGGAUUUGAGUAAGAGCAUAGCUGUUGGACCCGAAAG